AGUAGAAUGGCUGAGAUAUAAGGUGAUAAAUUGUAAAUUUAUUAAGGGGUUAACACCCUUCUGCUA
rnacentral:tRNA from 1 species